UACGAAGGGGGCUAGCGUUGCUCGGAAUCACUGGGCGUAAAGCGCACGUAGGCGGAUUGCUAAGUCAGGGGUGAAAUCCUGGAGCUCAACUCCAGAACUGCCUUUGAUACUGGCGACCUUGAGUCCGGGAGAGGUGAGUGGAACUGCGAAGUGUAGAGGUGAAAUUCGUAGAUAUUCGCAAGAACACCAGUGGCGAAGGCGGCUCACUGGCCCGGUACUGACGCUGAGGUGCGAAAGCGUGGGGAGCAAACAGGG
rnacentral:rRNA from 1 species